rnacentral:RNase_P_RNA from 1 species
AGGCCGUUCAUGAGGAAAGUCCGGGCUCCACAGGGCAAGGAUAACGGGUAACGCCCGCCGAAGGCGACUUCAGGAAAAGUGCAACAGAGAUAUACCGCUCCGCUGUCCUCUGAGGAAGGCGCCGGGAAGCAGAGUCGACGACAUUAUUUUUGCCGACGAUGAAGCGGAACGGGCUGCGGGGCAAGGGUGGAAAGGUGCGGUAAGAGCGCACCCAUCGGCUCGAGAGUGUCCGAUGCUGUAAACUCUAUCCGGAGCAACACCGGUAUGGGAGCGUCGGGGGUUCGCCCCCGAGAGGCCGGCCCGGCCGCUCCCGGGGUGGCUGGAGCGUACCGGCAACGGUGCGCCUAGAUAGAUGGCUGUCAAAUACAGAACCCGGCUUACAGUUUUGCUCGCAGA